ACCUCACUAAAUUAGUGUAAUCAAGCUCAAGUUUGUUGACUCAGGUCUAUAGAAAAAUAAAAGUUUGCAAAUUUGCAAACAUCAUGGACAUCAAGACGUUGUUGAAGCAGGCGAGAGCAGCACUGAAAGCCAAAGAUUUUGCUGCCGCCCUUAAAGUUUCCAAGUCGAUCGUCAAGCAAGACAAGAACAGCUACAUGGGGCUGGUGUUUCUAGGGCUAGCGCUCCAAGAAGUUGGCCCGACGCAUCAGGCGCUGAAGGCCUUUCAGAAGGCAAUCGAUCUGGACGCAGCCAAUCCGUUGGCUUGGCAAGGCCUGAUCAGCUACCAUGAAAAGCUCAACAGCGACAGCUCUCAAACCGAGUUGCUCAAGUUGUACAAGGCCUAUUUGGCAAUUGAAACCAAUGAGGCCAAGCUUCUUGAGUAUGCUAAAAGACUGUUAGGGCUGAACGGCCAGGGAGAUGCUCUGGAAACUUGCAAGGUGUUGUUGAGUACAGCCAACAAAUGCUCGACUGAGGCUCGAGUGGAGAUUGCCAAACUCGUGGCACAUCAUUUGGAGUCGGGGGUUGAAACUAAACUUCUGGAUCUGUAUGAAGCCUGCCUGGAACUGCUACUGCCGUCCGCCGCAGUGUCCGAGGGGUUCUACUCCAGCUAUAUCACUGUGCUGAACAAGAGUCGGCAAAUGCUUCGGGUUUUAGAGCAUUCGCAGAAAAUGCAUGAACUCUUUCCAUCCAGUGUGGUCGCCCUCAGUUGGAUCUGCAAAGUGUUCAAUGAAAUGUCCAUCGAGGAAAACUCUGAGGUGGACUCAAUUACGCCAAAAAUUGGCGGCUUUACCGCCAAACUCCUCAAUCUCGAACCUGCCAACGCUAUGGCUUUAUUCACGCAAGCUGUUCUCCUCUUCAGGGACCGCAAUGUUUUCGAAGCUCGAGAAAAGCUGCUGCUUGUAACCAAGCAAAGGCAGGGGUUGGUUUAUGCCUGGGUGUUACUCACGGACGUUCUGAUCCGGCUGCGUUUGAGCAGCGAGGCUUUGGCAUCUCUAGCCAGAAGCCAAAAGCUGGUGCGUUCCUUAACCAACCCUGUUUUGCUUCAUAAGGUCCGGAUUCAACAUCUGGAAAUUCUGUCGUUAUCAGACAACGUGGAUGAUUGGCAAAAGUGCCUGGAUAUUGCUGCGGAGGAUGUGGAUCAGAAUCAGUGCCUGGAACCUCUGAUAAGAGCUAGUGUCAAUUUGCAGGAGUUUUCCCUUGCAGAGAAGCACAUUUCCGCUCUAGAGUCGCUUAAACCCGAAGCGGCCCACGCUUUCAAGAUCCGUCUGUAUAGAAAACAGGGCAAAUAUACAGCAGCGCAGCAGCUAAUUGAAGAAUUCACUUGCAACUCCACUGACUGGUGGAUCGAAGUGGGCCUACUCCACUGGGAAAUGGGGCAAUUUUCCAAGUGCCUUGACCCAUUUUUAAAGGCAGCCAAAUGCGAUCCCAGCAAUUUCGCGUGCUUUGUCCAUUUGGGCCAAUACUACAAUAGAGUGGGCCACUUGGACAAGGCAAGGCGCUGCUAUGAAAAGGCGUUCAAACUCAAUCCCGCCUCCCCGGAGGCGGGCAGUGAAUUGAGCAAAGUUUACCGAAAGCUGAAGAAUUGGGAGUCCAACUUGUCCUUGCUGCUCAAUUUAACCGAGGGCUUAGUGGAUAGCGCAAAUGUGUGGGCCUGGCUGCAACUGGGUUUGACCUACUUGGAACAAGGAAAUCCCGUCAAUGCUUUGGAGUAUCUCAGAAUCGUUAUCCGAAUUGACCCGGAAAACACAAAUUGCUGGGAGUCUUUGGGCGACGCCUAUUUUGCAAAGGGCGCCUUCACCUCGGCCUUAAAGUGCUACCAAAAAGCCUUGGACCUAUCGGAGUUUUCCCUCUACUCGGCUUUGCAAGUGGCCUACAUCAAAAAGGUUUUGGGCGACUAUGUGGAGGCUCAGGCCGACUUUGAGGCCAUCCUCACGCGCAGCAACCAGUACGUGCCCGCGCUUAAAGGCCUUAGCGAAACUUGCCUUUGCCAGGCGAGAGAAUGUUUGAAAAAUCAACGACUUGGUGCUGCUAGGGAUUUUGUGCAGGAUGCGGUCAAUAAGGUGACUUUGGCCAUAACACAAAGAAGCGAGCUGACUUGCCUGUGGAAGCUGCUGGCGGACUGUGUGAUGUUUGUGGCCCAACUUCCAGAAAAAUACUCCUGCCUCAAGUUGCCCCACUUGCCUGCUUCGGGCAGCCCGCAGAAAUCAGCGAUCCUGGAGCAAACCGAGCUGUUUGAAUGGGCGACGAAGUUCUACUGUAAAGCCGUGAGUUCAGCCGAAGACAAUCCGUUUCUGUGGCACGACUUGGGCACUUGCUACCUGCAGUAUGCGUGCAAUCACAACGACCCAGUGAAGAAGAACGAACUUCUCAACAACGCCAUUAGCAUUGCCCAGCAUUGCACCUCCCUGAAUCCUGAGUAUUGGCAGCAUUGGAACCUUCUAGGCGUCGCGGCGGUUCUUAGAGAGCCCCCCAAUUACGCGCUGGCACAACACAGCUUUAUCAAGGCUGUGAUAGCGGAGAGCAACAGUGCUGUCGCUUGGACCAACUUGGGAAUCCUGUACCUGCGGAUGGAGGAUCUGGAGCUGGCCAAUAAGGCUUUCGGAGAAGGCCAGCGAUCGGAUCCCAACUACGUCAACUGCUGGAUUGGCCAAGCGAUUAUUGCAGAAGCGAUGGGGCAUAGCGACGCAAUGGGGCUGUUCAGGCACAGCACUCAGCUGCAGCAGCAUCAGGAGGGGAGUCUUGGGUAUGGGCAUUGGGUGUGCGACUCCUUGAUCAACCGCAAAUGCAACGACAAGUCCUGGGAGUACAACAUCAACAACAUGCACGCCAUCCCGGCGGCCUUUGAUAAUGUGCUGUGGUUCACUGAAAAGAGUCCCGACAGCAGCUGCGCAUGGAACAUGCUGGGUCUCCUGGCCGAAAGAAUGGGGCUGUUGGGCUCGGCCAAGAAGGCUUUCAAGCACGCCCUAGUCCUGGCCGAGCGCGCCCAUAAAGACCUUGCGCGGACCAACUACGGAAGAUUGCUGUAUCGGACUGGGGAAUAUGAGGAGGCGAUUGAAAUGUUCUCCCAUGUGGAGGCAGCCACGUUCAGCAGCGGGGCUGGAUUCGCUCUGGCUCUAUUCAGAAAUGGCCAAUAUGAGGAGUCCUACGCGGCCUACGAACAAGCCCUCCAUUGGCUCACAGAAGAACAAACGUCGCAGUCGGAACUGUUGGUCGCUUUAGCCUCCAUGGCCUAUAAGUUUCAAGGCGCCGAUGCCGCCAAAACUCUCCUAUUUCAAAGUAUCGGCUUAAACCCGCCGUCGCCUUGGAGUUUAUAUGCCACGUUCGCCCUCUCCCUGCUCCAGAAGGACUGGAAGUUGAGCCAGCUAGUCCUCAAAGAGCUGGUCGCUUUGGAAACCAGCUCCUUCGGACUCAACCACAACCAGCCGGAGUUUAUUUACCACUAUGCCACGCUCUUGUCGCAGUUUUACCUACUGAAGAACGACCGGAAGGAGGCGCUGGCCGGAUUGAGCCGUUUGGUUCACAAGUAUCCCAACAUAGGCUCCACUUGGUUGAGCUUAUCGCAGAUGAUUCUGAGGCUGGAAGUGGACAAAGGCCGACUGCAAGCAGGCGCGAACUGCGCCAAUAUCGCACUGAAACUCGGACAGCGCAACAUGGACGCUUCCAAGGUGCAGUGCUUGGCAGCUCUGUCCUUCCAAAGGGCCGGCGACUGGAAAAGAGCGGCGCUCUUCGCGCAGAAAGCCAUCCAUUUAUGUCCAGACCAGGCGGACGGAUGGGCCACGUUGAUUCGGCCGCUCCAAAGCCUGCAGGCUGGGGAACUCUGCCAAAAGCUGCCUGGCUACUUUGCCCGUGUUGAAUGCAACGAAACUAUCCGAAGUUGGGUGCAGAAGGUGUUAAGUGUUGAUCUAAUGCGUCCAAUUAGCAAAGCGACAUUUUUCGUUAAAAAGGCUUUUAGCGCUUCAUGUGCUUAGUGCAGUGCCGCUUUCGAGAAUGUUCUGUGAGUGCGCUGUUCACCUGCUUCUCCUCUUAAGCCUCGGGUUCCCUAGCCGGGCCCAGGAGGACUGCAGAACCUACGGCCAGCCUUGCUUUGAUGAUGACUCCUGCUGCGGCAGCUGCUGCUCGAAAGGAGUGUGUAAAGACAGUAAGUUAAGUUGGAUUGAUCAGUUGGACGCGACAGCGAGUUGUUUGCAGCUUAUUUGCACUGCCGGGCCACGCCCGUGGAGGAUCCCUGCACGAACCGCUACUGUCCAGAGGGUCAAGUGUGCUACACGUAUCAACCAACCGGAUGCACCGGAUGUGGCUUAUUGGUCGAAUGUCGAACCAUCCCCGUUCCAGAGGAAUUGAUGGAGAACAGAACGCUGACUCAUCAUCACCACUUCAGCAGGGCGAGGCCGCUCAAGCCACAGCUGAAGCACACCCUUCUGCCGCUUUUUGCUUUAUGUUUGUUGAUGGUGGGGCUUUGAACGUGUUUUCCUGAAAUAAUUGAGAAAGCUCUAGCCAGAAUGAACAACUUUUUAUUGCAAAGCUCGCAGAAUAAACACCGAGUAUAUCUAUGAAGA
rnacentral:misc_RNA from 1 species